CAAACGGGUGAGUAAUGCGUGACCAACCUGCCCCAUGCUCCAGAAUAGCUCUUGGAAACGGGUGGUAAUGCUGGAUGCUCCAACUUGACGCAUGUCUUGUUGGGAAAGUGCUUAGUGGCAUGGGAUGGGGUCGCGUCCUAUCAGCUUGUAGGCGGGGUAAUGGCCCACCUAGGCUUCGACGGGUAGCCGGCCUGAGAGGGCGGACGGCCACAUUGGGACUGAGAUACGGCCCAGACUCCUACGGGAGGCAGCAGGU
rnacentral:rRNA from 1 species